rnacentral:siRNA from 1 species
UAUAAAGUUAAAAACAAUAGUGAC